GACGUAGGGCGCGAGCGUUGUCCGGAAUCACUGGGCGUAAAGGGUGCGUAGGCGGGUCUUUAAGUCAGGGGUGAAAUCCUGGAGCUCAACUCCAGAACUGCCUUUGAUACUGAAGAUCUUGAGUUCGGGAGAGGUGAGUGGAACUGCGAGUGUAGAGGUGAAAUUCGUAGAUAUUCGCAAGAACACCAGUGGCGAAGGCGGCUCACUGGCCCGAUACUGACGCUGAGGCACGAAAGCGUGGGGAGCAAACAGG
rnacentral:rRNA from 1 species